AAUUUGCGUUAGGGAUUGCAACGGCAUCCUUUUUGCUUUUUCUGGCAAAAAGAUAUAGUGAAAAGCCCGUUAAAAC
rnacentral:sRNA from 1 species